AGCCAAACAUCCGUGGAAAUAG
rnacentral:snRNA from 1 species